GACGAACGCUGGCGGCGUGCUUAACACAUGCAAGUCGAACGGAAAGGCCCUGCUUUUGUGGGGUGCUCGAGUGGCGAACGGGUGAGUAACACGUGAGUAACCUGCCCUUGACUUUGGGAUAACUUCAGGAAACUGGGGCUAAUACCGGAUAGGAGCUCCUGCUGCAUGGUGGGGGUUGGAAAGUUUCGGCGGUUGGGGAUGGACUCGCGGCUUAUCAGCUUGUUGGUGGGGUAGUGGCUUACCAAGGCUUUGACGGGUAGCCGGCCUGAGAGGGUGACCGGGCACAUUGGGAAUGGGGGACGGCCCAGAACUCUACGGGAAGCAGGAGGUGGGAAUAUUGCACAAUGGGGGGGAGGCAGAUUGCACAACGCCGGGGUCGGGAAGACGGGCUUUGGGGUUGAAACCGCUUUCGCCUGUGACGAAGCGUGAGUGACGGUAAUGGGUAAAGAAGCACCGGCUAACUACGUG
rnacentral:rRNA from 1 species